rnacentral:rRNA from 1 species
GCUAGCGGCAGGCUUAACACAUGCAAGUCGAGGGGUAUAUACGGGUUUACCUGUAUAGAGACCGGCGCACGGGUGCGUAACGCGUAUGGAAUCUACCUUUUACAGGGGUAUAGCCCGGAGAAAUCCGGAUUAAUCCCCCAUGGUAUUUUUAUAUGGCAUCAUAUAUUAAUUAAAGCGAAUAGUGGUAAGAGAUGAUCAUGCGUCUUAUCAGCUGGUUGGUGUGGUAACGGCACACCAAGGCAACGAUAAGUAGGGGUCCUGAGAGGGAGCUCCCCCACACUGGUACUGAGACACGGACCAGACUCCUACGGGAGGCAGCAGUGAGGAAUAUUGGACAAUGGGCGGGAGCCUGAUCCAGCCAUGCCGCGUGCAGGAAGACGGCCUUAUGGGUUGUAAACUGCUUUUGCAGAGGAAGAAUAAGGGGUACUUGUACUUUGAUGACGGUACUCUGCGAAUAAGCAUCGGCUAACUCCGUGCCAGCAGCCGCGGUAAUACGGAGGAUGCAAGCGUUAUCCGGAAU